UAUUAUUAAUAACCUAUAAUAAGAAUUGGAAAAUACGAACCACAGUUUAAACACCAAAGAAUUUGGCGGUGUCUUACUUUAUUAGGGGAACCUGUCCAUUAACUCGAUAAUCCACGUAUAAUUUACCUAACUUUGAAAUUCAGUAAGUGUACUGCCGUCUCAAGUAUACCUUUAUGAGUGUAUACAACACAUUUUAUAUAAAUUAUACGUCAGGUCAAAGUGCUGCUUACAGUUAGGAUGAGAUGGGUUACAAUCUCUAUAAAGACUACGAAAUACAAUAUGAAAUUAUUUUAUGAAGGUGGACUUAAUAGUAAUUAUCUAUAACAAAUUAUAAUGAAAAAUAAAAUAAGACAAGU
rnacentral:rRNA from 1 species